rnacentral:rRNA from 1 species
CCUACGGGUGGCUGCAGUGGGGAAUAUUGGACAAUGGGGGCAACCCUGAUCCAGCCAUGCCGCGUGUGUGAAGAAGGCCUUCGGGUUGUAAAGCACUUUCAGUGAGGAAGAAGGCCUGCGGGUCAAUAACCGGCAGGAAGGACAUCACUCACAGAAGAAGCACCGGCUAACUCCGUGCCAGCAGCCGCGGUAAUACGGAGGGUGCGAGCGUUAAUCGGAAUUACUGGGCGUAAAGCGCGCGUAGGUGGCUUGAUAAGCCGGUUGUGAAAGCCCCGGGCUCAACCUGGGAACGGCAUCCGGAACUGUCAGGCUAGAGUGCAGGAGAGGAAGGUAGAAUUCCCGGUGUAGCGGUGAAAUGCGUAGAGAUCGGGAGGAAUACCAGUGGCGAAGGCGGCCUUCUGGACUGACACUGACACUGAGGUGCGAAAGCGUGGGUAGCAAACAGGAUUAGAUACCCGGGUAGUC